GGGGGUGAACGGUCUCGACUUUGGAUGUUGAGGCAGGGGAAGCGGGCCGAGGAAGCCGGAAUGAUCUCGUAAACCAAUAAUCCGUGCAAAAAAUAACUGCAGACCUUAAAAAGUCUGAAUUCGAACUAGCUGCAUAAGCUAUUCGAUUCCGUUAGCCCAGGUGCCGCUCUCGACCUGGAAUCUAGCGUCGACUAGGGGGCUUUUCACUUCAUUGGUGUUGCAGACGAUGAAGGAGAACAUUUUUGCAACUGAGUUCGUCGAAGAAAUGUGUGUAAAAACUUCGGGACUGAGAAAGCGUUAAUCACACUACGCCCGUAGAAGCCCUGUUUUAAUACCGAAGGACCCGGGUUCGAUUCCCGGCACCUCCACCA
rnacentral:tmRNA from 1 species